rnacentral:tRNA from 1 species
GCCUGGGUGGCUCAGUCAGUUAAGCGUCUGACUUUGGCUCAGGUCAUGAUCUCACGGUCUGUGAGUUCGAGCCCCACGUCGGGCU